AUUGAACGCUGGCGGCAUGCCUUACACAUGCAAGUCGAACGGCAGCACGGGAGCAAUCCUGGUGGCGAGUGGCGAACGGGUGAGUAAUAUAUCGGAACGUGCCCAAUCGUGGGGGAUAACGCAGCGAAAGCUGUGCUAAUACCGCAUACGAUCUACGGAUGAAAGCGGGGAUCGCAAGACCUCGCGCGAUUGGAGCGGCCGAUAUCAGAUUAGGUAGUUGGUGGGGUAAAGGCUCACCAAGCCAACGAUCUGUAGCUGGUCUGAGAGGACGACCAGCCACACUGGAACUGAGACACGGUCCAGACUCCUACGGGAGGCAGCAGUGGGGAAUUUUGGACAAUGGGCGCAAGCCUGAUCCAGCCAUGCCGCGUGUGGGAAGAAGGCC
rnacentral:rRNA from 1 species